AUUGAACGCUGGCGGCAUGCCUUACACAUGCAAGUCGAACGGUAACGCGGGGCAACCUGGCGACGAGUGGCGAACGGGUGAGUAAUGUAUCGGAACGUGCCCAAUAGUGGGGGAUAGCCCGGCGAAAGCCGGAUUAAUACCGCAUGAGACCUGAGGGUGAAAGCGGGGGAUCGCAAGACCUCGCGCUGUUGGAGCGGCCGAUAUCAGAUUAGGUAGUUGGUGGGGUAAAGGCCUACCAAGCCUGCGAUCUGUAGCUGGUCUGAGAGGAUGACCAGCCACACUGGGACUGAGACACGGCCCAGACUCCUACGGGAGGCAGCAGUGGGGAAUUUUGGACAAUGGGCGCAAGCCUGAUCCAGCCAUGCCGCGUGCGGGAAGAAGGCCUUCGGGUUGUAAACCGCUUUUGUCAGGGAAGAAAUCUUCUGGGUUAAUACCUCGGGAGGAUGACGGUACCUGAAGAAUAAGCACCGGCUAACUACGUGCCAGCCGCCGCAGUAAGAC
rnacentral:rRNA from 1 species